AAGUCACUAUUAAAUAAGGUAAUUAAUGUGUUUGGAAACAUCAAAUGAAGCAUUGACAUGUGCUUCAUUAAGGCUUAGUUAAUGCUUAUUGUGUUUGAACAGGUUACACAUGCUGUUAACAACGAAUGAAAUGUUAAGUCCGUUGUAAAUCCUUUACAAAUCAUAAUUUAACUAUUAAC